rnacentral:rRNA from 1 species
UACGUAGGCAGCGAGCGUUGUUCGGAGUUACUGGGCGUAAAGGGUGUGUAGGCGGUUCUUUAAGUUUGGUGUGAAAUCUCCCGGCUCAACCGGGAGGGUGCGCCGAAUACUGAGGAACUAGAGUACGGGAGAGGAAAGUGGAAUUCCUGGUGUAGCGGUGAAAUGCGCAGAUAUCAGGAAGAACACCCGUGGCGAAGGCGGCUCUCUGGGACGGUACUGACGCUGAGACGCGAAAGCGUGGGGAGCGAACAGG